UACGUAGGGGGCAAGCGUUGUCCGGAUUUAAUGGGCGUAAAGAGCGUGUAGGCGGCCAGAUAGGUCCGUUGUGAAAACUCGAGGCUCAACCUCGAGACGCCGGUGGAAACUGCAAAGCUAGAGUCCGGAAGAGGAGAGUGGAAUUCCUGGUGUAGCGGUGAAAUGCGCAGAUAUCAGGAAGAACACCCGUGGCGAAGGCGGCUCUCUGGGACGGUACUGACGCUGAGACGCGAAAGCGUGGGGAGCGAACAGG
rnacentral:rRNA from 1 species